AGUGCAUCCACAAAGUCACUGAAGUGGGUGCUCUGAAGGAAUAGACAGUUUUAGAGUUAGCAUGUCUCGAAAGAGUUUAGUAUGUUCCCGAAACUAUUAAGGUGGUGCUUAAUCGAACUGUAUGAGAUUUUCUUGUCACAUCAUAAGUAGGGAUCUGGUUUGUUCACGUUUGAUAGGGGUCUGAUCUUUACCAGGAAGUUUAAACUGCAAAAAAACUGUUUGUGCUUAAGGCUCCACUGGCUGUUAUGAACACCUUACAAGUGCACCUUUGGGAGACACUGGACACGCCUUAGCAGUCACACCCAAAGUCAGAGGGAGAAGACACAGAUCUUCAGUAAUCCCACUCUAGAAUCCUAUGGCACUGGUGUGGUGAAGCCACACGGUCAUUUGUAUGGGAGAAAGCAGAAGGAGACGACUUCCUUCCAGGAACUUCUGGAUUUCAGUCACACAACGCCAUCGACAAAGGAAGCCAAUUUGUUACAUGUAAUGAUGUACUCUGGAGUGGUCGUGUUCUACAGAGGAAAAUGUUUUACCUGAUGAGGUGUCUGGGUUUGCAUGCGGAGGGACGGCGACAUUCUGCCUCUCACAAAAAUGAUUGUGCCUUGCUAAUCAAAUAGAGAUGUGAAUUUUAUGGCUUUUACCACUAUCAUGCACAUCAGGCUAGGUGCUUUUGAAUAAAUCAGUGUGAUUGGGGUGGAAUUGAUCUGCUGGUCUUGGAAGCAGUGGUAGUGUCCUUUGGAAACUGCUCCCUGUGCUCUCCUUUAGAAGCACAUUACGAUCUAAUCAUGCCAGCAAACACAUUCAAAGUAUUUAAAACAUGAAGUGAUUAAUAAGUGUUAAACAUUACAAAGGUUUCAAUGCAAAUAAAUGCAGUAUUACAUCA